rnacentral:rRNA from 15 species
UGGGGAGUACGCCGGCAACGGUGAAACUCAAAGGAAUUGACGGGGGCCCGCACAAGCGGAGGAACAUGUGGUUUAAUUCGAUGAUACGCGAGGAACCUUACCCGGGCUUGAAUUGCAGAGGAAGGAUUUAGAGAUAAUGACGCCCUUCGGGGUCUCUGUGAAGGUGCUGCAUGGUUGUCGUCAGCUCGUGCCGUGAGGUGUCGGCUUAAGUGCCAUAACGAGCGCAACCCCUCUCUUCAGUUGCCAUCAGGUAAUGCUGGGCACUCUGGAGACACUGCCACCGUAAGGUGUGAGGAAGGUGGGGAUGACGUCAAAUCAGCACGGCCCUUACGUCCGGGGCUACACACGUGUUACAAUGGCCGGUACAGAGGGACGGUGUAAUGCAAAUUGCAUCCAAUCUUGAAAGCCGGUCCCAGUUCGGACUGGGGUCUGCAACCCGACCCCACGAAGCUGGAUUCGCUAGUAAUCGCGCAUCAGCCAUGGCGCGGUGAAUACGUUCCCGGGCCUUGUACACACCGCCCGUCAAGCCAUGAAAGCCGGGGGUGCCUGAAGUCCGUGACCGCAAGGAUCGGCCUAGGGCAAAACUGGUGAUUGGGGCUAAGUCGUAACAAGGUAGCCGUACCGGAAGGUGCGGCUGGAUCACCUCCUU